UAGCUGGGAUGAUGAAGUGAUGCACUCCAGUAUCCACGGAGAGUUACAAUGGAGAUAAUGAUGUGGAGGAUGAGAUGAAACCCUGGAGAGGAUCGACUAUGAGAGGAAGAAGAGGUGAAGACAUCAGUGAUGGUCAACGUUAUCUAUAGCAAGCUGUACAUCAUGUCCGUAACAGUGACCUGCAGCGCCGUCCCGUGUGGCUGAAUACACAUUAGACGCUGAAUGGGCCUCAGAGACACGUCACUGCAUCGAAAACUGCAACUCAUAAAGCUGUAAGAAAAAAAACCCCGAAAGAACGUGAGAAGAAAUUUAUUGCCAAAAUCCCAAAAUAUGGAUUGGAUCUGGUGAGAGCUGCCCCUCCAGGAGGCUACGUGGAGGUGCACACAGGAGCAACACAGCCCGCAGUGAAUCACUCCAAUAAAUCAGAGCACGGGAGCUACUACAUCACCUGUUCUUCUGAGUCGAGAAGGCUGAAUGUUGAUGACUUUGUGAUGGAUGACUGAUUCAGUAUCCAUCAGCAUGUGGGGCUGGAUCACAACCAGAACCUGAACGGAACACCGGCCAAGCUGAAGUGUCAGCUCAGGAGGCUGGAGUGAAGCACCCUGACGUAAGCAUCCUUGUGCCACGCUCACGUGGUUAAUGCACAUCAGCGUUCUGUGUUGUUUAUCACCCGGGAACGUGGAAUAUUCUUUAAUGGCUGUGACUGAAAACUUUGCUCUAACCGUCGUCUUAUUUAAAUGCACAUUAUAACCUAAUUUACGUGCAGCAGGCGGGAGUGUAAUGGAGAGGAAAACCCCAGAAAAACUAAAAAGCUAAAUCAACACUUUUAUAGCGCAGGCUGCGUUUGCCAAGAAUGAAUGCCUUUUAAUGUCCAAACAGAAUCUGCAGAUUCUGAAAUGAAUGGUGAACAGAUUCUGCUGCAGAUGUUUUGUUAAUGAAGAUGGGGCUCGUUAACCAUUAUAACUCAGUGCCAUUCUGACAGUGUGACAAUACAAACCCAGUCAUAACAGCAGGAACUGAAAGGCGGAAAGAAAAGCUUUGUCUUAAAGUUAAAUUCACAGAUGUAUCAGGGUCAUUUAUAGAAAAAUAUUAUAAAUUAGCUGAUAUCAAAAAAAUCAAAACUAUCAAAGUUUAGGCCAGAAAAUGAAUACAUGACAAGGAACACGUUUAUCAGAAGAAAGUGUUAAGUGACACCCUCUGCCCCCCCGACCCUCCCCCAGGGGACAAUGGCUCUAUGAAGUUUAGGAAACAUUUUUAA